UACGGGGGGGGCAAGCGUUGUUCGGAAUUACUGGGCGUAAAGGGUUCGUAGGUGGCCAACUAAGUCAGACGUGAAAUCCCUCAGCUUAAACUGGGGAACUGCGUCUGAGACUGGAUGGCUUGAGUGCAGGAGAGGAACGCGGAAUUCCAGGUGUAGCGGUGAAAUGCGUAGAUAUCAUUUGGAACGCCAACGGCGAAAGCAGGCAGCUGGGGGAUGCACCGACGCUGAGACACGAAAGCCAGGGGAGCGAAACGGG
rnacentral:rRNA from 1 species